GCCAUGGUAGUGCAGUGGUUACUGCGCACCCUCGAAAAGGGUGUUGUGUGAGUUCAAUUCUUGUCCGAGGUU